UUUUUAUUCACAACGACAGAUGUUUUUCUGAUUUACAUUAUGUAGCAUUUAGAGAAACAAUCAUAAAAUAAAUAUCAAUUUUAAGAUAUGAAUGGCUAAUAUGUGUAGGUACUUUCUCGCCCUCCGUGCAACAAAAUCAAAUGAAACAACACACGUGCUCUGCACUGCGCCAAUUUUAAUAUGGCGGUGUCAGAGGAGUCGCAGUACGAUGUCGUGUAUAGAACGGGUCUAUCAUUACUAUCAAAGUCAAAGAUGCAGUCACUUUUAACCUUGUUUUUGUGCUUAUAUUAUCUAACAAAGAAACAGAGUGAUACAGAAUAUAAAAAAGUGCCUGUGGAGUGUGGUCAUGAUAGUUUUAAUAUAAAUUAGCUUACACAUUUUAUUAAAAAUAACUCAAUACCGUAUACUACCUAUAAGGGUUGUAUAAGUAUAAACAACUCGCAUCUUAUAUUGCCAUUUUGUUGUAACUGUAAAAUUUUACUCUGGAGCACAGGCAUGCAAAAAGAGACUAUGGUUCUUAAUUCUUUAAUGUUUAUAUUAAAUAACGAUGGUAGUUAAUGUCAUGAUCACAGACACAGGCUCUGACAACAGGCGAAUCUUACUGCAUUUAUAUCAAAACCUGAUUAAAUUAUUAUAUAAGACGUACUUAGUUAUUGUUAUUUUGUCUUGAAUAUUAAGCCCUUCAACCCAAGCAUGUGCGUAAGCAUCUGAUCAAAUGCUAUACACUGUCAAAAUGUCAAUGUAGUAAACAAAGUAGUUAAAUGUAGUUCUAUAAUUAGCGCUGCAAAGCUUAUACAUUUCAAUCACGCAACACAAAUAUUUUAGCGAUUGUGAUUUGUUCUAGAGAACUGAACACUGUAUGUGCUGCCUCUGAUGUGCUGUUUUAGCAUGAACAUAUUUGAUUUUUAAAUUGGGCGAUUGAUUUUAAAUUAAGGAAAUUGAAGGCUCAUGCAUUAUAUUUUCUAAUGAUCGAUAUAGUCAUGUUUAUUCAAUAUAGUCUGCAUAUUAUAUAUGCCAAGUCUGCAAUUUCAGUAAGCAGCUUUAUAUAC